CCGUGCUAGACGGGGAGCCAGCGGUGCCCUGCACCCGCAAUCCGCUUAGCGGGGUCGAAUUCCUGCCCGAGGCCGCUUGGUUGUCGAUUCUGCUCGUUUGGGACGGUGCUGAGAGUCGGGACCCGUGCGACAGGGCCCCUCGAACCCCGUCAGGUCCGGAAGGAAGCAGCGGUAAGAGGUAAGCUCUGGGCGCCGCGGACUACCCUGGCUGGAGCCGCGCCCGGCGAGUAAGGCGGGGGCCGGCGUUCGAAGGCAGGUGCACGG
rnacentral:SRP_RNA from 1 species